rnacentral:tRNA from 1 species
UGAAUUCAGUUCCUAAACUUUGUCUAGGUCACACCCUGCAAGGGGUACUCCUGGGCCAUUAGCUCAGGUGGUUAGAGCGCACCCCUGAUAAGGGUGAGGUCCCUGGUUCAAGUCCAGGAUGGCCCAUUCGGUGUUGGGGGUAUAGCUCAGUUGGUAGAGCGCCUGCUUUGCAAGCAGGAUGUCAGCGGUUCGAGUCCGCUUACCUCCACUGAUCUAACUCCUUAUAACGAAGUUUGAGGAGAUUUUGUUUGAUGUGAUCUAGAAUUUGUUCUGAAUCAAUGAAAGAACCUAGCUUCUUGUCAAUAAAGCUAAGUAAACUAUUUAAUUAGCUUUAAAAGAUAGGACGCUGGGCUCCCUGCAAUAGAUAUUGCAGAGAUGUUCAGCAGAACCUUGACAACUGCAUAGUGAGUCUGGAAAAAAUAAAGCAUCUCAUGGAUGCAUUGUUUUUUGAGUCCAAAUUAGAAGUCUGUUUUCAGAUUUCUAAUUACUCAGACAACAAUGUUUAAUUCUUGAGCAAGAGCCGAGACUCUAUAAUUCACUCUUAAUUGUAUUAAUUACAUUAAGAGUUUGAUUUUUAAUUUUAUUCCAUCGGCGGAAAGUUUAUAGAUUAAUUCUAAAACUAUCAGCCUAAUUUCAAUGGUUCAAAAUUAAAAAAAAAGUGUUUACUAGCGCUUUUGUUAUAGAGAUUAAAUGGUCAAGCUACAA